AGGCAUGCGCAGAUACCAUGCAGUCGAGCGGAUGACGGGAGCUUGCUCCUUGAUUCAGCGGCGGACGGGUGAGUAAUGCCUAGGAAUCUGCCUGGUAGUGGGGGACGACGUUUCGAAAGGAACGCUAAUACCGCAAACGUCCUACGGGAGAAAGCAGGGGACCUUCGGGCCUUGCGCUAUCAGAUGAGCCUAGGUCGGAUUAGCUAGUUGGUGAGGUAAUGGCUCACCAAGGCGACGAUCCGUAACUGGUCUGAGAGGAUGAUCAGUCACACUGGAACUGAGACACGGUCCAGACUCCUACGGGAGGCAGCAGUGGGGAAUAUUGGACAAUGGGCGAAAGCCUGAUCCAGCCAUGCCGCGUGUGUGAAGAAGGUCUUCGGAUUGUAAAGCACUUUAAGUUGGGAGGAAGGGCAGUAAGUUAAUACCUUGCUGUUUUGACGUUACCGACAGAAUAAGCACCGGCUAACUCUGUGCCAGCAGCCGCGGUAAUACAGAGGGUGCAAGCGUUAAUCGGAAUUACUGGGCGUAAAGCGCGCGUAGGUGGUUCGUUAAGUUGGAUGUGAAAGCCCCGGGCUCAACCUGGGAACUGCAUCCAAAACUGGCGAGCUAGAGUACGGUAGAGGGUGGUGGAAUUUCCUGUGUAGCGGUGAAAUGCGUAGAUAUAGGAAGGAACACCAGUGGCGAAGGCGACCACCUGGACUGAUACUGACACUGAGGUGCGAAAGCGUGGGGAGCAAACAGGAUUAGAUACCCUGGUAGUCCACGCCGUAAACGAUGUCAACUAGCCGUUGGAAUCCUUGAGAUUUUAGUGGCGCAGCUGACGCAUUAAGUUGACCGCCUGGGGAGUACGGGCCGCAACGUUGAGACUCAACUGAAUUGACGGGGGCGCGCACAAGCCGGUGGAGCAUGUGGUGUUAUUUCGAUGCAACGCGAAGAAGCAUUACUAUGGCCUUGACAUGCAGAGACUUUUCCAGAGAUGGAAUUGGAUGCCGUUCGGGUAGCUCUGACACAAGUGCUGCAUGGACUGUCGUCAGCUCGUGUCGUGAGAUGAUGGGUGAAGUCACGUACGAGCGCAGCCCAUUGUUCAUUACUUAUCAU
rnacentral:rRNA from 1 species